UACGGGGGGGGUAAGCGUUGUUCGGAAUUACUGGGCGUAAAGGGCGCGUAGGCGGCCCGCUUAGUCGGACGUGAAAUCCCUCGGCUCAACCGAGGAACUGCGUCCGAUACUGGCGGGCUCGAAUCCGGGAGAGGGAUGUGGAAUUCCAGGUGUAGCGGUGAAAUGCGUAGAUAUCAGGAGGAACACCGGUGGCGAAGGCGGAUCUCUGGGCCAUUACUGACGCUGAGGAGCGAAAGCGUGGGGAGCGAACAGG
rnacentral:rRNA from 1 species